GCGUGUGUGUGUGUGUAUGUAUGUACAUGUGUGCAUGUGUGUGUGCACGUGUGUGUGCAUGUGCAUGUACAUGUG
rnacentral:miRNA from 1 species